AUUGAACGCUGGCGGAAUGCUUUACACAUGCAAGUCGAACGGCAGCACGGGGGCAACCCUGGUGGCGAGUGGCGAACGGGUGAGUAAUACAUCGGAACGUGCCCGGUCGUGGGGGAUAACGUAGCGAAAGUUAUGCUAAUACCGCAUACGAUCUGAGGAUGAAAGCGGGGGACCUUCGGGCCUCGCGCGAUCGGAGCGGCCGAUGUCAGAUUAGGUAGUUGGUGGGGUAAAGGCCUACCAAGCCGACGAUCUGUAGCUGGUCUGAGAGGACGACCAGCCACACUGGGACUGAGACACGGCCCAGACUCCUACGGGAGGCAGCAGUGGGGAAUUUUGGAUAAAGGGCGCAAGCCUGAUCCAGCCAUUCCGCGUGCAGGACGAAGGCCUUCGGGUUGUAAACUGCUUUUGUAUGGAACGAAAAGGCUCUGGCUAAUACCUGGGGCUCAUGACGGUACCGUAAGAAUAAGCACCGGCUAACUACGUG
rnacentral:rRNA from 1 species